rnacentral:lncRNA from 1 species
CUUGGGAUAGGAGGAUAGACUGGUCUGAGAGAGAAAGGUCAGUUGAUGGAAUAAGGUCUCAGUUUAGUUAUGUUCUCAUCAGCCCAUUCUUGGCUGGCCUUCUUACACAUUCAGACCAACUCUAGGGAAUAUUGUCUCCAUCUUCUGGAUGGAGCUAGCUGCAGGAUCAGUUAUGAGAAUUCAGAGUCUUGUCAUCUCUUUUUUGUGGAGGAAGGUCUAGCAUUGAAAAUGUGCUGUUUUUAAGAAAACCUAAGAUCUAAGACUUACAGAAAUCUCUUGCAAUGUGCAUCUUUACCAGUUAGCUAAAGUAAUGCAUUUACUCUUGAAAAAACCAUUUUACAUAUGGAUACCUUUUUUGUUUCAACAAAUAUAGGAAACUUCAUACAUCAGAAGUGCCAUAUAUCUGUGCUAGGCGCUUUCAAGAAUGUGAUCUUGUUUCUGUAGGCCUUCUAUGCUCCCUUUUAAUGUUAGCAUUUUUUUCUUUCUUUUUUUUUUGGUACUAGAGACUGAACCCAGGUUUACCAUUUCCAGCCUUUUAAAUUUUUUUUUUGUUUCCUGGCACUCAAACCACUGAGCCACAUCCCCAGCCCUAUUUUGUAUUUUAUUUAGAGACAGGGUCUGAGUUGCCUCACCAUUGCUUAGGCUGGCUUUGAACCUGCAAUCUGUCUCAGACUCUCAAGCCGCUGAGAUAACAGGCUUAUGCCACUUCACUUAGCUGUCUUCAGUACUGGGGAUUGAAUCCAGGAGUACUCUUCCUGAGUUACAUUACCAGCCCCUGGACUUGAACUUGUGAUCCUCUUGCCCUGAUCAGCCUCCCCAGUAGCUGGGAUUAAGUAUGUGCCAUUGCACCUGACUUAUUUAAAUACUACUGGGACUGAACCCAGGGCAAAUGCUAGAUAAAUGCUCUACCACUGAGCUACAUCCUCAGCACUUUAUUUUACCUUUGAUUGUUACUUGAAAUGCAGUUUGAUCCUGUGCCUGGCAUGUAAUGCUCAAUAUUGGCUGAAUUUGGCACAGCAUUAAGAAAUCUCUCACAUUCUAUAACCUAUUUCCCUUUUGCCAAAAAAACCUGCAGCUUUUGUCCAAGAUGUCAUUUUGACAUUUAAAAAUGCUAGUUGAAAGCCAGGUAUAGGGACACAAUUCCAGUGAGUCUGGAAACUGAAGUGGGAUCCUAAGUUUGGGGUUAGCCUGGGCAAAUUAGCCAGACUGUCUCAAAAAGAAAAGAGGUGGGGAAAGGGUUGGGAAUAUAAUUCCUCCUUGGUUCAGUCCCCCAGUACUGGGGGAAAAAAAAAUGCUGGGAGUUGAAUGUAGCCAUUAGUUUAGAAUUCUCAUGAAUGUCAUUCCAGUUAAGUCUUUUACUUAAAAAAGUUUAAACUGGGACAUGAAAACAGCUUAUGCUCAAAUUCUUUACAAAAACUUUCCUUUGAAAAGUUAGGUUUUUGAUUUAGUCCUUGACUUCAUGAGCUGGCAACUGGAUAUGGCUUAGUUUGUGCUAGUUUACAAUCAAGAAUCUAGUCAGUCAGCACACAUUCAUUUCUUCCAGGAAUUUUUAUGGAGCACUUCUAUUCCUAGCAUCAAGUGCUGGGGAUGGUGCAAAAAAGGCUAGUUUCUGCCUUAUGGUAAAGAAGAGCUAGACAAAAAGAGUGAUAUGCUGAUGGGUUAGGAAAACAUUUCUGGAGGUGACCAUAAAAGAAGGACCAGGAGGAAGAGUUGAAAGUAAAGUUGUUUGGCAUCUAAGGAGAGAGAACCUUUCCAGGAAUGGCAAAUUGGCAAGGCAGCAAGGUAAGUGCUAGACAAAUUGGUAGUCUUGGGAGACCAGGCCAAAGCCUGGAUUAGAAGCCAUUACAUUUUUAAAUUAACGUAAUGCAUGUUGAGCAAACAAAAUUGAAAAUAUUUUUGCCUUUUAUUCCACACAAAACUUAAGAUAGGGUUAAAAAUGGUAGUGCACUCAUUGUCUCGUGACUAACUUUAGUUCUUUCCAACACUUCAUCUUUUGCAUCUCCCUAGGUUCCAGAGAAAGAGGGAUCAGCACCUGAAUCUGGGCCACUUUGGCAGGAGAGCCCACCCCAGCUACAUGGGGUUAGGGGCUGAAGAUCAGGUGGUGCUACUCCUUUACUUUCUAAAAACUACAGCCUUGGACUAAGGUUGGGCUUGGAGGUAAAAUGCUCAUCUAGCAUGCAGGAGGCCCUGGAUUUGUUCUGAAGGGCAACAACCUCCAGCCAGGGAUCAUGUUACCAUUAUGAUGGCAGAGGCUAAAGGGAGUUGGGUGCCAAGGAUCUAUGUGCACUUAUUCUGAAAUUAAGUAUAUGGGUUUAGGUUCCUGGGAGUUUAGUACAUAAACUCAAAAAUAUGUGGCAUUAAAGUUCAUUAGAUUAAGAACCUAUGUCCUAUGCUCCACUUAAUAUCUGAGAUACCACCCUAAGGUAUUCCAAAGCAACAUGUUUUUAAAUGACAUGAAAUUUUAGGUAUACAUCCUCUUUACUAUUUCCACUAAUAUAGCCUUUAUUAAGCUCUUUGUAACUAUGUAAUCAGCCUUAUUUAAGUCUCAGAACCACUUCAGUAGGGAGAUUCUAUUAAGACCCCACAAAUAAGGGGCUGGGCAUGUAGCUCAGUGGUAGAAUGCUUGUUUCACAUGUAUGAGAUACACCACAUAAAAAAAUAAUAAAAGACUGGGGACAGUAAAGAUGGUAGAAUGAGAUAGACAUUAUUACCCUAGUAUAUGUAUGACUGGACAUAUGGUGCAAAGCUAUAUCGUGUACAACCAGAGAAGCAAAGUUGUGCUGCUGUUUUGUAAAAUGAAUCAAAAUGCAUUCUGCUGUAAUAUAUACCUACUUAAAUAAAUUAAAAAAGAG